rnacentral:tRNA from 1 species
GUUGGGCCUGGAUAAAAUGAGACAGCCAGCCUCAGUCUUGAGGAGGGGCAUUAAAGGAUAGGGGCAUAAAGGCAGCAGCAAGUCAGAUGGUCAAAUCUGUCUGAUGCUGGCAGCCUGUCAUCUCCCAAUCUGUCCCUGGCCCACUGUGAGUCCAGCCAGAGAAGCCCAGCCUACCAGGCUGUGAGCCCCAUGAAGGGAUUGCUUUGAAAAUUAGGAACCCUAAGAUCUUAGGAAAGUGAAAAAGACAAAGUGUUAAUUCUUCAGUUGUGUCCGACUGUUUCUGACCCCAUGGCCUGUAGGCCACCAAGGCUCAUCUGAACAUAGAAUUCUACAGGCAAGAAUACUAGAGUGGGUUGCCAUUUCCUUCUCCAGGGAAUCUUCCCAACCCAGGGAUUGAACCUGGGUCUCUUGCACUGCAGGCAGAUGCUUUACCAUCUGAGCCACCAGGGAAGAUCUUAGGAAGCUCAUGCCUAUCCAUGUGGGGGUAGUUUUCUUUUCACCUCUUGGAGUGAGCACUCCACACACACACACACACAGAUGUGCACAGUGUAUAUAAUAAAGACUAUGAGGUGGAAUCAGAAGAGGGACAGAUACAAGGAGGGUAAUAAGAAUACACAGGGGCUGGAGGCACUGCCUGCCUGAGACACGGACUCCCACAUUUUCCAGGUCUUGUCCCAACGAUGUCUGAGGACCUCCCUAGAAGUCCAUGUGGGCAUCAUCCCCGGUGUGCAGGUGGGGACACGGACAGGCUUUGAGAGACACAAGGACUCAUCCAGGAUGGAGAACAUGUAGGAAUCAGGAGGUGAGUCUGGACCCAGGUCUGUCUCCUCAGAUCUGCACACAGACCCUGCCCAGGAGCUGUGUGGAGGGCUGUGUGGAGCAACUGUGUGAGACCUGGGGCUGUGGGGAUGAGGGAUGAGAACUCGGAACCCUGUCACCAGGCACCCACCUCCUAGCAACAGCGCCACGGCCAGUUGGGCUCACUCGGCUGGAGAGACUUCACCCGGAAGGAUGUUCUCCAGCUGUGUCUCGACUGACCAAGGUUCUUCAAGAAACCCUGGAGGAAGAGGUUCUUCAGAUGUUUCAGGCGGUUCAGCACUCAACCCGGAUGCCUCUGGUCCUUUACGAGGAGGUCACCUAAGGGCUCCUCACGGGACUGCAGACAGGAGCCAGUCCACGGAGCACCCUGCUCCAUCUCCCUGCACAAGGGGCUGGAGCCCCACACCAGCAACAGAGCCCAGAGUGGGCACAGGCACCAGCUCUAGAACAAGCUCUGGAAACAUCUCCAAACCUGGAGCCAACUACACCUCUACUGCCCACCAGAGCUCCAGAGUUAGAGCAAGUCCAUUUUUGGUAUUUUUUUAAUGCAUACUAAAUUGUUUAUUCUAUGAUAUAAAGUUCACUUCGAAUUUAAUAGUUUGAUUAUCUUAGACUGUACAUGUAAAUUGAAGUAAGUUCAUUCACAAUGUUACAUAACCCUAUUAAAUGUAUAUUUGAGAACAUUUGCACUCUUUUCAUGGCUAAAUAAUAUUCCAUUUGGGAAACAGCACAUUUGACUUUCAUCUGUUGAUGGACAUUAGGGUUUUCACCUUUGGGCUCGUCUGAACAGCGGUGCUCUGAAUACUUGUUACAGUCAUGCGAAUAUCUGUGUUCACAUGCUUUUGGGUUUUGAUGUAGGAGCAGAAUUUGGGGGUUGGCUGAAAACUAUAGGCCUGUCCUUUUCAGAAACUGCUGAAGUGUUCUAUGCAGUGGUUGUACCAUUUGACAAUCCCCCAGAGUUUAGGUGUACAAUUUCCACUUCUUCAUUUGUAUCGCAGUUUCCCCUCUCUGUGUCUUUCUCUCUUCCUGGUCCCUCACUCUAGGGAACAAGCCUGUAUAUUACAAGUUGUUAUAUGAAGAGGCAUCUGUGGCUUAGCAUUGAGAUCAUCAGACAGAGGAGCUCUUGGGUCCUGACUCUGAGCCCAUAGUCCCAGACCCCCGGGAGACACUGGCAGAGGCCUCCAGGUGAAUCAUGGUCAAUUCCUGGUCCACAGAUAGUGUGAGAUAAUAAAUGUUUGUUGCUUACGUCACUCAAGAUUGGCUAAUGUUGUCACACAGAAUGGAUCACUCACACCACCAUCAAGCAUCAGGCCCUGG